AACACGUAGGUGAUCUAUCUUUGGAUCUGGGAUAGCCUGUGGAAACACAGAGUAAUACCUGAUACGACCUUAUGGCUAAGUCCGUAAGGGGAAAGUCGCUUAGGCGACGUCCAAAGCUGAGCCUGCGGCUCAUUAGCUAGUUGGUAGGGUAAUGGCCUACCAAGGCGACGAUGAGUAGCCGGCCUGAGAGGGUGAUCGGCCACACUGGGACUGAGACACGGCCCAG
rnacentral:rRNA from 1 species